CUGAGCAUUAGAACUAAAAGUCCCACUUCACAUGAAAGACCAGAGAGGAUUAAGAAAUAGUGAAGGACUCAGAGAUCAAAUAGAAAUCAUGCAUGUCGCAAAGGGAGAAACCACCCCAAAGCAAGACAUUCGGAGAAGGCAAGUAAGAAAAUACUGCGUGAGUCUGAGAAGGGGAGAGACAUACUUACACACCGGUACUCAUGUGGAAUCACAGGAACAAAGGAGAAGCUGUCCACGCGGUGACACGGAUCAGACAUCCAAUUAGGAUAAUGGAGCACACCUGGAGAUAAUUGGACCCUCCAGUGGACACGCCUGACGGCUGAUGACAUUCUGGUAGCACUAUUGGCAUCUGAGGACAAGGGGAGGAGUUCUGCUAAACAUCUCUGGAUGAAUAGAACCACCCAACACUAAGGAAAACUCAGGAGCCAUCAGCAUGUGAAUAAAACAAUGACACCUCAUACCAUUUAUGAGACUCAGCCAUUGCGUCUUCACCUUUUCGGGCAUCCUGAGGACCUGGUUCAUCGGUAGUUAUGCUGACAUUGAGUAGAGCCUGAGGUGGCUCAGGGCUGCCCAAGCUUCUCUCUGCCGUUGGUCCAAUGCAGGAAUGGAGACUAGCCCCAUCUACUGGAGAAAGAGAAUACAGUGCUGUGAGAAUGGGACACAGAUGCAUGCACACAUGUGCAUACCCAGUCCUCUUAUCUUAAAACAAGUAACUGGGCUGGAGGGAUGGCCUAGUGGUUAAGCGCUUGCCUGUGAAGCCUAAGGACCCCGGCUCGAGGCUUG